rnacentral:rRNA from 1 species
CGGGGGGAGCAAGCGUUGUUCGGAUUUACUGGGCGUAAAGGGCGCGUAGGCGGCCACCGCAAGUCGACUGUGAAAUCUCUGGGCUUAACCCAGAAAGGUCAGCCGAUACUGCGGGGCUAGAGUGCAGAAGGGGCAACUGGAAUUCUCGGUGUAGCGGUGAAAUGCGUAGAUAUCGAGAGGAACACCUGCGGCGGAGGCGGGUUGCUGGGCUGACACUGACGCUGAAGCGCGAAAGCUAGGGGGAGCGAACGGGAUUAGAUACCCCGGUAGUCCUAGCCUUAAACGAUGAAUGCUUGGUGUCUGGGGUUUUAUAGUCCCCGGGUGCCGUCGCUAACGCUUUAAGCAUUCCGCCUGGGGAGUACGGUCGCAAGACUG